AACGAACGCUGGCGGCAGGCCUAACACAUGCAAGUCGAGCGAGACCUUCGGGUCUAGCGGCGGACGGGUUAGUAACGCGUGGGAACGUGCCCUUCUCUGCGGAAUAGCCACUGGAAACGGUGAGUAAUACCGCAUACGCCCUUCGGGGGAAAGAUUUAUCGGAGAAGGAUCGGCCCGCGUUAGAUUAGAUAGUUGGUGGGUAACGGCCUACCAAGUCUACGAUCUAUAGCUGGUUUUAGAGGAUGAUCAGCAACACUGGGACUGAGACACGGCCCAGACUCCUACGGGAGGCAGCAGUGGGGAAUCUUAGACAAUGGGCGCAAGCCUGAUCUAGCCAUGCCGCGUGUGUGAUGAAGGUCUUAGGAUCGUAAAGCACUUUCGCCAGGGAUGACAAUGACAGUACCUGGUAAAGAAACCCCGGCUAACUCCGUG
rnacentral:rRNA from 1 species